UGAAGGAUCCUCUCUAUCAGAUUGAUCUGCAGGUGAGGGUGUCCAUAGAAGAUUCUUACGAGUAAUAUCGUUCAAGCCAUGGAAACAAUAUAAUGGGUUCAAAUCCAUUCAUGGUUCGUCAUUAGAACUGCAAGAAAGUGGGGAUGGGUGGCUGUCUGUUUGGGUGCUCAGAGCCCUGGGGCAGAGGGGGUGCUGGGAUUUUUAUCCAGUCAUCUGUACCAGCAAUAAUCACUCAAAAGUGAGUCUACUUUGUGAAAGUUCUCUGGGUGGAAUAGGAGAUGGAGCCUUGGAAAUAUUUUUGGGUUCCCUAUAGCAUUCUGUCACGUAUGUAUAUCAGUUCCACGGAUGUGAAAACUACCCCUUAGGAAGCAGGCAUUGUCUGAAAGCCAGCAUUCCUGUACCGCUUGCUGGUGGUCCUUGUCCUGCUGCAUGCUGUUGGCCUUGGGGAUGCUUGCUGAUGCCUCUCUCCUUCUUCCUGCAGGCGUAUCUCACAGACUUCCUUUGCCAGUUUGCUCAGCAGCCCUGUUACAUAAUGUUUUCAUGCCACCUUAACGACAACGAGAGGCGGGUCCUACAGACUAUCGGCAUCUAAAAAGGAGAGUCUUCAGCCUGUGCUUCCUCUCCUGGCCCAGCCACAGAACAUUCUACCGCCCUCUCUGGCCUUGAGAUGCACUUUUUCUCAGCCUGGAGUGGCUUCUGGCCGUCGGCCUGGACAGUGAUACUGACACUCAGCCCUUGCUUACCAGGGCUGGCAUUUUAAAAGCUAAAGCAAAGAACAUUUAUCAAAGUCCUGUGAAGAUACCCCAAAUCUGGAACUGUCUUUCUCCCCAGCUCUGCCCCCUUCAUUCCUAGCAUCCUCUGUUGGCCAGACCAGAAACAUUGAUACCGAGGAUGUGGGUUCCUGGUUAUUUUGCCCCACUUCAGGAGCACAGGAAUUCAUUUCCAUUAAUACUCAGAAGCAUAUCUGUUUCUUUCAUAGGACAUCUGAUGUGUUCAGUUAGGAGCCCCGUGAGAGAUCAUUCUGCCUAUGCCUUCUGCCCUCGGCCAGUGAUGCUCUAGGUUUUCAGUAAGGAGAAGCUGGAGCCGCCACGUACUAAGCCAUUUCCAGUAACUUCACCUUCAUGCUUUCCUCAUGCAACACUAAGGGUCCUCUGUCAAAGGCUCCAUAUUCCCAUCUUUGCUUCGUUGCAUGACACAGCCCCUCCCCCAGGCUGUUCCUAUAUAUACAUGCAUACACAAAGCAAGCCAGACAGACGGCAACUUGUCUUUUUUUUUUUUUUUUAAGAAAAAAAAUCAGGAAAGAGAUUUUUAUUUCUAAAUCUGCUUGACCCAUCUAUAUUUAAUAUGCCUCUUCUGCACAUAACCACAGAGUCUGAUAUUCAAAGGUAUCCCUAUCCCUCAGGAAUCCUCUGAAGUGGUUGAGUUGUAGCCCUUGAAUUUACAACAUGUAUUUUUCUAGGACAGUAAAGCGAUCUUUACAAAUG
rnacentral:lncRNA from 1 species